GACGAACGCUGGCGGCGUGCUUAACACAUGCAAGUCGAACGGAAAGGCCCUGCUUUUGUGGGGUGCUCGAGUGGCGAACGGGUGAGUAACACGUGAGUAACCUGCCCUUGACUUUGGGAUAACUUCAGGAAACUGGGGCUAAUACCGGAUAGGAGCUCCUGCUGCAUGGUGGGGGUUGGAAAGUUUCGGCGGUUGGGGAUGGACUCGCGGCUUAUCAGCUUGUUGGUGGGGUAGUGGCUUACCAAGGCUUUGACGGGUAGCCGGCCUGAGAGGGUGACCGGCAACAUUGGGACUGAGAUACGGCCCAGACUCCUACGGGAGGCAGCAGUGGGGAAUAUUGCAAAAUGGGCGGAAGCCUGAUGCAGCAACGCCGCGUGCGGGAUGACGGCCUUCGGGUUGUAAACCGCUUUCGCCUGUGACGAAGCGUGAGUGACGGUAAUGGGUAAAGAAGCACCGGCUAACUACGUG
rnacentral:rRNA from 1 species